AAGUGGCGCAGUUGGUAGCGCACAUGGCUGCUAACCAUGAUGUCGCGGGUUCGAAUCCUGCCUU
rnacentral:tRNA from 2 species